GCUGCUGUUUUGUAAACACUCAGUAUGAGUUCCUGGUCCCGGCUGUUAGGACGUGGCGGAUCGACUAAAAAACGCAACGAAAACAACGAUUUUUUUAAGCAAAAAAUGUGAAUGUUGUGCGGAAACAUAAAGGUCAUAAAUGGCAUAUGCUUCGUCGGACUGCAUAUGAAAAAGUGUUGAGUUUGAGAGAAUCCUGCGGGUCAAGACGGUAUCCAUGUGUUUGUGGCGUGUUUUCCGUAGUUCAUAAAGGGGGAAUGGAUUACUUACUACCUAGCCAGAGAAUCGAAUCUAUAUAAUAUCCUGUGCUGCACGGAACUAUCCUCUGAUUGAUGUUCACAGAGUUCCUCCAACAGAGUUCCCCUCCAUUACGGAAAUGUUUUCCAUUCCAAACGCGUUUGCACAUUAGCACUCCCAUUGGACAGAUAUGACUUCAUUUUCAGGUCAUACACGCCAUAUGCAACAUGAGUCUUGCCACAGAUGUCAGUGCUGUACUUGCAGUUGCACCCGUUCCUUCUUCAUUCCCGGGGCUGGUCCACAUGAGUUACUACAAGCAGAUGAUUUAAUGUAACCGCAUAUGCAUGCGAGUAUGGAUGUGCUCGCACACACAUACAUGGGGCAGGCCACUUCAGAUGCAUUCCCCUCGAUACCAGAACAGAACACACCAGCCCAGACACCCCACACAUGUUUCAAUUGAAGCGUCAGUUGAAAGAAAAACCGGGACGACAGCCACGGUGACCUCCAUCUUGAAAACUGAUGCCCCGAUGAAGCGGUUCCAAAGUUGAGGAUAAUAUUUGGGAGUUCAGUCUGUAUUUGUUUAACAGUGCGUAAAUCAUGGCGUCAACGAGCUGCGACCUUGCCAAGAGCCCAUCUAGAUUCUGGCCAAAUCCGACGUCAAAACAAAUCGUUAAAAUGCAAUAAAACUCUGAGAGAAGGAGGAGGAGUCCACACCCAUAUGCAAUCGCUAAACAAGAGCCAAGGCAAAUGCAUUCAAAUAAAAUUUUACCACCAUUUCCUCGGGCAUCAUCAGCAGGAGCAUCAUCAAACUAACGGCGGCAACAUCCGAGGCACCUCAUAAAAGUAAUGACGUCUAUGGGCCAUCAGCAUCAGCAUCUGAUAGAUACAUUUGUAUCUACGCACGAGGUGGCGUGGAGCGAAGGGGAUAUCACAAUAAUUAUGGCAUACGUCACGGAACUUGGGUUUUUAUAUCUUUUAUAUUGAUUGUCAUCGUGUCACACUAACAGAUCGUAAAAAAGUCGUAAAACCCGGAGACACUCGCUCCUGCUCUGACUAUGUUCGGGCCGGGCCGGGCCG